UUUUUUUUUUUUUUUUUUAAAUCAGAAAUAAAAGCCACGGAACAUCCAAAUGGAGGUGGGAUAGAACCUGCUAGAACCACAGAUGGCUUCUGCGAACCGGAACCGGUCUUUGCAAUGUUUGGCAAUGGUUUCCACGGACAGAGAAGGAGGAGGGUGGAGUGUCCGACAUAUGGCUUCUUUCCCGGAGACUCCGUGGCAGGCUGGCUUUUUGUAAGUGUUUUUGACGGACGAGUGACCGUUGGUGGCCUCAUUUUGGCCCGGAAAGUGGCCCUGGUCACUCGCCCUCGGGGCGGGCUGACGGCCUUUCCUGCCCCCAGAGCUGAGAGGGGCCGGGCGGCGCAGAGAUGGACGAGCUGCCUGGAGGCCCGGCGCCCGGAAGGACGCGGCUGGGUACAUGGUGGGGACGCAGGGACACGGUGGGGAUGCGGUGGGGACACGUGGGCUAGAGUCACAGGAAGAAGGGCAGCACCUUCUGCCGCCAGCGGUUCACAUCCCCGGGGCCAGAGGUCACCCCCCAGUCACUCAAUCCUUGGCCUGGGAGUCACCUGUGGGGAGGGGUGCACAUUCUAGCUCCUUCCUGGAGUGGGGGAGGGACACCCAGGCAGGCUGUAGGAGAGAAGGGGACCCUGUGUCUCCCAGCCCUGUUUUUUGGGGGGUGUGCCCUUAAUUUCCCCCCCGUGAUGUGGCCUAGAGACACUGGUCCCCCCAGGCCCCUUGCCACCUCCGCUAGCUCCCGAAGGCACCGCGCACACCAUGUUUCAUGCGGGACACUCGCGGGGAAGCACAGGCAGGAAACGCUGUCGCGUGUGCACGGCGCUCGGGGGUCUACACUACGGACACUGGGAUUUACUCUAGAAGGAAGAAAGGAGGGGUCUUUUCCUCAGCUAGAAAGACACCCAAGGUGGGCCUCUGCUGACGGCCACCCCCGGGGUCGAGGCUGGGGCCCCUGGGGAGGCAGCUGGGCAGGGGUGGCCACGUGCCUCCUCACCCUCUCUGGGCCUGGUUUACCCACACUGCUUGGCCCCGGGGCUCUGACUCGAGUUCGAGUUCAUUCAGGGCUGGGGUGCUGCCGGCUGAGCCCUGAGCUAGGUUUUGGGGCCACCCGGUAGGGACACUGGGUGGGGCUGGACGCGGCACAGCUGGCGGGCAGGGGUCGGACUGAAACCAGGGCCUCGCUGGGGACCCGUGACCCAGGACCAGCCCGGGAUGGUGGGGAUGCGAGGGAAGGCGGGCUCCGGGGAUUAAGGCUUCUUUCACAGAAGUGGCCGGACAGGGCUUGCUCUGCCAACUGCCCCUCGAGUGUUGAGUCUCGGGGUGGAUUCCGCCGGCGCCCCGGCCCCCCGCUGAGCGAACGGGUUUUGUUCCGGCUUGCUGCUCUACUGGGGACAGCAAGAGGCUGACUCCCCGCCCAGUGAGAGUGGCCAGGGCAUCGGGCCCUCGCAGCUUCCCCGUCCAACGGCAGGUUUGGGGAAACUGGGCUCCCCAAAGCCCCCGGUGCUCCCGGACCGGCCGGAGAGAGCUGGGAGCCGAGGAGCAAGGCUGGGCCCUGCAGCCAGCCCGCAUGGGGACGUCACCCGCCGGCACAGGGACACAUCCCUCUCAUCCCCAAACCUUAAUGCUGGUGGGAUCUGGGCCUUGGCACUUGCAGGGGCUCGGUGGGGGGAGCAGGAGCCUUGAGGUUGGCACGAGGACCCAGCUCCUGGCCUGUAAGGUGAGGACCCUCUUGGCGCAGGGCACACGGGUGCAAGGGUACAGGGGCAGGUGGGGGACAGGUGUGCACGGGGUCCUCCCUCUGCCUCCUGCUCCCUUAACUGUCCAGGUCAACUGUCACAGGAGCCGAGUGAUCAAGGAAAAACCACGGGAGGGAAGAGCCAGGAGCUGUCUGGGUUACGCAUCUCACCCCGAGGCCCUGCAGCUGCUUUCUGGAGCUUCACGCCUUUUGACCUGUCAGGCAGGGCCUCCCCGGGCUGCACUCCUGUUUGCAAAAUGGCCAUGGCGACGCGCAAAAAGUGGAAAAAAACAAAACACAACACGACAACCCGGCAAAGCCAAAUAUGACCACAGCUUCUAACUGCUCAAAUGGCCGUUUCGUGCUCAAAACAAAACAGAACACAGCUGACCGUUCCAGUGACCAGGGCAGGUUGCUGGAAAUCCGCUUCCCUGUGGGGUGGGGUCCCAGGAAAGGGCGGGGGGCCGCAGCGGGGCUGUCGGGUGAUGUGUGCCACACAAACGCCACACAAGUGCCACACAGCAGGGCGACACUUGGCCACGCAGGGCACGCUCCACAGACAAAGCCUCCCUCCUGGCCUCUAAAAUCCGCGGGUGCAUUCUACACAAUGUGUGGCUGCAGGCUCAGCCGCUGAGCUCGGGGCUCCGGGGUGUGGAGCAACAAUUGUUUAAACGGAGAGGGGACCUGUUUCCAAAACACGCCGCUGUGCCCUUCCCCCACUACCCACUUUUAGUCUGCUGAGCACAGAAGAAACAGUAAACGCACUGCAGCGUCGGCCUGGCACCAGUCUUUGCACAAACAGCCAAUUGUGCGAGAAUCCCCACCCGCCAGGGCGCACGGGACAGUGGCCAGGUCACCCACCUCCUUCCCUUCUCCCAGCCCGGCGCCGCUCUGGACCGCAACCCGAACGGCAACCAAGUUUCAGAAAAUUGUUAGCACAUCACUUGGGCAUUUCUGCUGUUCCUGAUGGGAAGCGGCAGCGGCACCCCCAGCGUCUUCCGGCCGGGCCUGGGAGGGCAGCGCUGCUGGGCUCGAGAAUCCACCUAAGGCCGGGAGACACAUUUUACCCCAUCCGCCGUGGGGGCUGUUCGCAUUUCUUUGGGUACUGGAAGUUUUGGGACUUGAAAUGUUUUGCUUGACUGUGUAGAGGGGGUCAUUCCGGGCGUGCUGCUCGCAGUAGCUCAUGAGUUCUGACGAGGCU
rnacentral:lncRNA from 1 species